CAGUUGUAGAGCCGGGGGGUUGGAACCGGGAUCCUUAUGCCGGUCCUUGUGCUUUGCGCCACCUGCGCUGAACCCGCUGCGCUACCUUGAUAGGACAGACUGAAGCUGAGAGGGGAGGGGAUGAUAGAGAAGGAGAGAGAAAGAGAGACACCUGGAGCUCUGCUCCACCACUCGUGAAGCCAGCCCCCCGCAGGUGGGGAGUGAGAGCUCUCCCCUCGGUCCUCACGCAUGGUAAUAAUGUGUGAGCUUAACCAAGGUGCAAACGCAGGUCCACAGAACCUCUGCAGACUUGCAGGCCAGAUGGUGUUGUCUAGAUGAUUUGCUAUAGAGUUAAACAUGAAUGAACUAAGACAAGUCAUUCAAAUGACCCCCACGAUGAAAGUGACCUCUAUGAUAAUUCUGUAGAGACCAUGAGUUAGGGCUCAUCCUGGGAUGCGUGUGUGGGGACCUAUUUCAGACAAGGAAACAAAACCAGAUUCUGCCCUCUGUAUCAGGCAGCAAAGACAUUUCAGUCUUAACAGAAGCACUAAUCAAUAUGUUUGCUCUGCACUGGUGUGUUUAUUGUGCUUAAAAAUAAGUAGAAAACAAUAAAAGAGACAAGUGGGUUAAACAGCGAUGAGAUGUUAUCUCUAAGGAAAGCGUGUCUGAGCCCACUAGGAAGAUCUGAGAUGCUUCCCUUGUGGGAAGAAGCCUGGACGUGUGAUCAGAGGGGUUCUCCCUGUGCUGUGGUGACAGCGCUUGUGCUCUUCAAUGUCAAAUCUCUCGUAUAACAAAAUACGUGCAAUGAGUUGGAGAAACUAUCAUCCAGGGAACUGGAGCAUUAAUGCUUUGACGACCAUUCAAGAUAUGCUUGUUUAUUUCCUUCUCUCACAUUCCUACCACGCAUUCACAAGACAGUGGCCCCACCAUUUUCAAAAUGGCGGCCCCAGGGUGCACCCAGAAGAUCCCCUUGGGAAAGGAGUCCUGGGAUUCAGUUGACGUUGGCAAUGAAUCAACACAAGUGUGCUGUGACCUGCGAGGGCUUCCCUAAGGAGCAUGGAGACAAGACGAAUGUAAGUGACGGUUUUUGGUUCCCAUGUUUAUUCGUGGAUGUUGAGUAUGUUAACCGAAGAUGACCAUGGCUUCAUGGCUUCACAUGACAGCACUUUGCAGGGAGAGCGGGUGUGAACGCAGUUCCACACAACUGCAUCAUUCCUGAUGCCAUUUUACCCAUGCUCCUGGCAUUAUAAUAUUCCACAGCACUUUUACACCUCAAUGUGAUCUCUGUUCUUGAGUAGCUGAGGGGAGCGGUAUCACACAGGAAAGUAAACAGCAGUGGUCCAUUUCUGUUGUGAGAGAAAAUGGUGCUGUUCUAGCUGAUUGUACCAUCUUUUUUUUUU